rnacentral:misc_RNA from 1 species
UCAGGCACAUGGCUAUUCUCCUGCUGUGCCGCGGCCCUCGAUCCUCGCCCUUCCUCACUCUGUAGCACACUACGUGUGCACCCUUCUUGUUGGAUGCCGUCUCGCUUCGAUUUUCGUUUUUUUUUCGCGCGCAGCCUUCUCCGACUUCCGCGUCUGCGAGCGACUGCUUUUGUGCCGCUCCCGAGGCCAAGAAGUGUCUAGGGAUGUCACCCUUGCCUUCGCGUCUCCUCCUCGUCUCCUCGACGCUCCGUCUUCUCCGCGGGGCGUGCUCACUUGCAGCACUGCAUUGAUUUCGUGUCUUCCCCAUCUGCCUUUACUUGCUCGUCCACGGCGUCGCUGUCGUCGUCUAUCAUCUCUCCUGUGGCUUUCCUUUUUCGUUGUGCGGUUCGCGGUCGUGUCUCCCGCACACUCCUCUCCCACCCGACCAUCCACCCGCUCCGCCGCGGGCCUCGACCCGAUUCACUGCGAAAGUUUCCACAUCUUCCCUAUGUGGUACAGGAGAGGGCCGCUGAAUAUCGACAAGAAGAGCUUCGCUGCUACGUGGAUAAAGGAGGUCUCAUCGCGCCCCUCCUGAGGCUGCACGUGCCCGAUGAUUGUCCCGCGUCCUGCCGCUCCUGUGAUGGUGGCGAGCGAACCUGCGCAAGUUACUCGGACGAACGAUGUCUCAACGACUGCGCGAUCAUGUAGAAGGCAGGCCCAAACCACAGCAGUCUGGCUUUCAUCCUCAACGGUCGUGCGGCCGACCGGGUAUACCAUGGCGUUACUAUCACGGCGCUGAGGAGGUUCAAUGUAGGCCCGUACCUUACUCGCUGGAUCAUAAACCUCCUGGACGAGCGUCGUGUCUGUGCUCGCUUCGGAAAGAGGGGAUCGACGAUGGCCAGGCGUGCGUGCGGACCUCCACAAGGAUUAGCCCUCGGUCCUCUUUUCCCCAUCAGUGCAGUGAGCUCGCUGAGUGUGGAGCUCAACAGAAUACCCGGACUGCACCACGCCUCCUCUACUGAUGGCCUCGCGUUACUCACGCCCUACGCAGGCAGAGAUGUCAUGCAGGCCAGACUGCAAUUCGCCCUCUCGAGGGUGGUGCGCUGGGCACUGGAGCACUGCGUAGGGCCGAGCGUCUCUGGACGUACACGCUCUUUGCUGCGUGGCACCGCAGCCAGCUACAGCCCUCCGUUGCAAGCACGUACACGGUAGAGGGCCGCCACCUUCGCCUUCUCGGCGUGGACUUUCAGCCCAUGCGCCGCUUGCUGGCAUGCUGCAUAGGUUAUCCACGAAACGUAUGCAGGGCCCAACUUGCCAGGCAGAGGGCAGUGCGCAGUCACGAGAGCGGCCUCUCCAAGGAUCUUCCCCGCUGCUUGCGCAUGACAGUGGCUGGCUAACAGCAGCUCUACGGCGCCGCAGCGUGGUGGAAUCAUGUAUUUUCUGCGCAAAGGCCCGCCAGCGCUUUCGUGCGACAGCAGCCACAGUCACGGUGGGUACUGCACAGCACGCAGGCAACGGAGGCCCACUCAUAGAGGCCGAUCUCCGGUCCCACACAUCCAUGGUACGCAUGCGCCUCACCCGCUGCUCUCUCACUUUCUCUCCGAGAUCACCCGAGGAGGCUGCCCUGCGCAUUUUGUGCAG